rfam:Cavia porcellus supercont2_32 genomic scaffold, whole genome shotgun sequence.
GGGGAUUUAGCUCAGCAGUAUAAGCGCCUGCCUUGUAAGCAGGCAGUCGCAAGUUCAAUCCCUG